ensembl:rRNA 5S_rRNA 5S ribosomal RNA
GCUUACGGCCACACCGCCUGGUUCACGCCUGAUCUCGUUUGAUCUCGGAAGCUAAGAAAGGUUGGGCCUGGUUAAUACUUGGAUGGGAGACCGCCUGGGAAUACCAGGUGCUGUAAGCU